rnacentral:rRNA from 1 species
AUUGAACGCUGGCGGCAGGCUUAACACAUGCAAGUCGAGCGGGGGAAGGUAGCUUGCUACCGGACCUAGCGGCGGACGGGUGAGUAAUGCUUAGGAAUCUGCCUAUUAGUGGGGGACAACAUCUCGAAAGGGAUGCUAAUACCGCAUACGUCCUACGGGUGAAAGCAGGGGAUCUUCGGACCUUGCGCUAAUAGAUGAGCCUAAGUCGGAUCAGCUAGUUGGUGGGGUAAAGGCCUACCAAGGCGACGAUCUGUAGCGGGUCUGAGAGGAUGGUCCGCCACACUGGGCCUGAGACACGGCCAAGACGCCUACGGGAGGCAGCAGUGGGGAAUAUUGGACAAUGGGGGGAACCCUGAUCCAGCCAUGCCGCGUGUGUGAAGAAGGCCUUAUGGUUGUAUAGCACUUUAAGCGAGGAGGAGGCUACUCUAGUUAAUACCUAGGGAUAGUGGACGUUACUCGCAGAAUAAGCACCGGCUAACUCUGUGCCAGCCGCCGCCGUAA